rnacentral:rRNA from 1 species
AUGCCCCUCCUGCUCCGACGCCUCGUCGGCGCCGUCGCCGUCGCGGCCCCCCUCCGCCGCUCCCUCUGCACGGCGGCCCCGCGCCCUCCCUGGGCCAUGGUGAACAGCCAGGCGGCGCUGGACGCGUCAGGGGCGCCGUCGCAGAGCGCGCGCGCGCUCGUCGACCUCAACACCAUCCCGUGCGUCUCCCACCUCUCCGUCCCCGCUCGCCUCGUCACCCCCCACGGCGACGACAUGGGUUCCCUCGUGGGCAUCGUCCGCGGCGCGAGCAGCGACGGCCUCCUCCUCCUCGACUUCAUCGACGCCCGCCACCGCCCCUUGUGGCCACACGAAUUCGCCGCGGCCCGCGGCGGCGUGGAACCGGAGGGCAAGCUCUUCGUCUGCAACCCUCUCAGCGGCCAGCUGGUCCGCCUCCCGGCCCCGGGCAUGGAUGUCCCCAAAAUGGGAAGUACCUCUUUCGGCCUGCUCACCCAAUCUCAAGGCUCACACGGCCCGCCGGAUAGGUACGUGGUCGGUCAGCUCAGUAAAAGCAGUCGCGGGGGAGGGGUGUGGCGCAGGGUCGUUCGCCGGUUUCUGUCCGAGACAGGGGAGUGGGACGAGCGGCCGCUGGUCGGGGUGGCCGAGUUGGAUCCUGGGCGGAGCAUGAUGAUCAACCAUGAGGUACUGGCGUUCGGCGACCGGCUGUGGUAG